rnacentral:rRNA from 1 species
UACGGGGGGAGCAAGCGUUGUUCGGAUUUACUGGGCGUAAAGAGCUCGUAGGCGGUGUGUCGCGUCGGCCGUGAAAACCUGCAGCUUAACUGUGGGCUUGCGGUCGAUACGGGCAUCACUGGAGUUCGGCAGGGGAGACUGGAAUUCCUGGUGUAGCGGUGAAAUGCGCAGAUAUCAGGAGGAACACCGGUGGCGAAGGCGGGUCUCUGGGCCGAUACUGACGCUGAGGAGCGAAAGCGUGGGGAGCGAACAGG